rnacentral:rRNA from 1 species
AACGAACGCUGGCGGCAUGCCUAACACAUGCAAGUCGAACGAGACCUUCGGGUCUAGUGGCGCACGGGUGCGUAACGCGUGGGAACCUGCCCUUAGGUUCGGAAUAACUCCCCGAAAGGGGUGCUAAUACCGGAUAAUGUCUUCGGACCAAAGAUUUAUCGCCUUUGGAUGGGCCCGCGUUGGAUUAGCUAGUUGGUAGGGUAAAAGCCUACCAAGGCGACGAUCCAUAGCUGGUCUGAGAGGAUGAUCAGCCACACUGGGACUGAGACACGGCCCAGACUCCUACGGGAGGCAGCAGUGGGGAAUAUUGCACAAUGGGCGCAAGCCUGAUGCAGCGACGCCGCGUGGGGGAUGACGGCCUUCGGGUUGUAAACUCCUUUCGCUAGGGACGAAGCUUUUUGUGACGGUACCUAGAUAAGAAGCACCGGCUAACUACGUG